ACCCCGGGAGGGGAGUGAAAGAGAACCUGAAACCGUAUGUCUACAAGCAGUCGGAGCGAAAGCGACGGCGUGCCUAUUGAAGAAUGAACCAACGAGUUACGUGCACUAGCGAGGUUAAGUGGAAGACACGGAGCCGAAGCGAAAGCGAGUCUUAAGAGGGCGGAUAGUUAGUGUACGUAGACCCGAAACCGCAGUGAUCUACCCAUGUCCAGGUUGAAGCGCAGGUAAAAUUGCGUGGAGGACCGAACCUGUGAGCGUUGAAAAGCUUUAGGAUGAGAUGUGGGUAGAGGUGAAAUUCCAAUCGAACGCGGAGAUAGCUGGUUCUCCCCGAAAUAGCUUUAGGGCUAGCCUCAAGUAGUAAGUAUAGGCGGUAGAGCACUGAUCGGGCUAGGGGCCAUAAAGGUUACCGAACCCUGUCAAACUCCGAAUGGUUAUACUGUAGAGCUUGGGAGUCAGACUACGAGUGAUAAGAUCCGUGGUCAAAAGGGAAACAGCCCAGACCACCAGCUAAGGUCCCCAAUGUCGUACUAAGUGGAAAAGGAUGUGGGGUCUCUAAAACAACCAGGAUGUUGGCUUAGAAGCAGCCACCAUUUAAAGAGUGCGUAAUAGCUCACUGGUCGAGAGACCCUGCGCCGAAGAUUACCGGGGCUAAAGUACGAAACCGAAGCUGUGGCUACGACGUAAGUCGUGGGGUAGGGGAGCGUUCUGUGAGGGCUGAAGUCGUUCUGUAAGGAACGGUGGACUUCACAGAAGUGAGAAUGUUGGUAUGAGUAGCGAAAAGAAUGGUGAGAAUCCAUUCCACCGAAAGCAUAAGGAUUCCUGGGCAACGAUCGUCGUCCCAGGGUAAGUCGGGACCUAAUCCGAGGCAUGGAGCGUAGGAGAUGGACAACUGGCAGAUAUUCCAGUACCGGUAAUGAUUGUUUGAGCGAUGGAGUGACACAGGAGGGCAGGCAGGCAGGAGAUUGGUUGUUCCUGUACAAGCGUGUAGGAUGGGACGUAGGCAAAUCCGCGUCCUGUGAGUCUGAGGCGUGAUGUGGAGGUUCCGGAAACGGAACUGAAGCUGCUGACCCCACACUGUCGAGAAAAGCUUCUAGUUAGAGAAUUACCGCCCGUACCGUAAACCGACACAGGUAUGCGGGGAGAGAAUCCUAAGGUGCGCGGGAGAACCCUCGUUAAGGAACUCGGCAAAAUGUACCCGUAACUUCGGGAUAAGGGUAGCCGCUGUUGUGAAGUCUGAACAGACGGAGCAUGAGGCGGUCGCAGAGAAGAGGCCCAAGCGACUGUUUACCACAAACACAGGUGCCUGCUAAAGAGAAAUCUGACGUAUAGGUGCUGACACCUGCCCAGUGCCGGAAGGUUAAGGAAGGAUGUCCGGAGCAAUCCAAAGCAUUCGACCGAAGCCCCGGUGAACGGCGGCCGUAACUAUAACGGUCCUAAGGUAGCGAAAUUCCUUGUCGGGUAAGUUCCGACCCGCACGAAAGGUGUAACGAUUUGGGCACUGUCUCAACGAGGGACCCGGUGAAAUUGAAGUACCUGUGAAGAUGCAGGUUACCCGCGACUGGACAGAAAGACCCCAUGGAGCUUUACUGUAACCUGACAUUGGGUUCUGAUACAUCACGUACAGGAUAGGUGGGAGGCAUGGAAGCGAGGACGCUAGUCUUCGUGGAGCCGCCGUUGGGAUACCACCCUUGAUGUAUCGGAAUUCUAACCGUAGGAGUAACGAAACUCGGGACAGUGUCAGGCGGGCAGUUUGACUGGGGCGGUCGCCUCCCAAAGAGUAACGGAGGCGCCCAAAGGUUCCCUCAGCGCGGCCGGAAAUCGCGCGAAGAGUGUAAAGGCAGAAGGGAGCUUGACUGAGAGCCAAACACGGCGAUCAGGUACGAAAGUAGGGCUUAGUGAUCCGGUGGCA
rnacentral:rRNA from 1 species